rnacentral:rRNA from 1 species
GAAUGCUGACAUAAGUAACGAUAAAGCGGGUGAAAAGCCCGCUCGCCGGAAGACCAAGGGUUCCUGUCCAACGUUAAUCGGGGCAGGGUGAGUCGACCCCUAAGGCGAGGCCGAAAGGCGUAGUCGAUGGGAAACGGGUUAAUAUUCCCGUACUUGGUGUUACUGCGAAGGGGGGACGGAGAAGGCUAUGUUGGCCGGGCGACGGUUGUCCCGGUUUAAGCGUGUAGGUGUGUGUUCCAGGUAAAUCCGGUUCACUUUAACACUGAGGCGUGACGACGAGGCACUACGGUGCUGAAGCAACAAAUGCCCUGCUUCCAGGAAAAGCCUCUAAGCAUCAGGUAACAUCAAAUCGUACCCCAAACCGACACAGG